ACAGCUGUCGCUUGCCAGGCAGCCCGAGAGAGUUCUGGCGAGGGCUGCGGGAAGGAAAGGGGGCGGCGUCCUUCACAGGGAGGGUGCAGCUGACCUCCCUCCCCUUGUGCAGACUGGAAAAGAAUGGCCCAGAUCCUCUGGACUCCUCAGAUGAGCGGAUUCAGAGAGAAGCUUUUGAGAGCGUGCUGGCGGAGACAUUUUUCACAAAAGAGCCCUUGCGGUGCUGGUGUCCGUGGCGUGCCUGGGUGGAAAAUGAGCUUAUAUAUGAAGAAGUCAGCGAGUGGACAAAGCCAGGCGCAAUGGAUAGCAAAGAUGUGGAAGUCUCCUCGAUUCAAGUUACAAGAAAACCGCAGCAUGGAGUCUGCUCUCAGCUGUUGGGGAAUUACCGAUGCCUUUGACUAAGUCAAGACUGACUUUUCCAGAAUAUCACCCAAGAGAUAGAGCCGUCCCUGUCCAAGUUUGUGCGCUAGCCCUUCAUGGAGGUCAGAGAGGAAGAAACAAAGGCAGCUGUGGCCUCGGCGGUCACAGUGUCAGAACGCACAAGCCCCAUAAAGAGGUUUCACGCAGGCCACCCAUCCCUUUUCAUUCUCCAGCAGAACAGGACAGAGAGCGUUCUGUUCUGCGGAAGGUCUUCCACUCUACAAGGCAAUCCCUCCAGCUGCUUUGCUGUAUUGUGCUGUCUCCUGUCACACUAUGAAUGCAGUGACCUCAGCCAGCAACAGGGAGAACCCCCCUGCCUCCCGAACAAAGGACCUCACGUGAAAUCCUGAGCUCAGAGCUUACAGAUAUGUGUGCGCUUUCACUUUACAUCGGCCGUGACUUCCAAACAACUUCAGGAAACUUUAGGAUCUCUGAGGUAUACUGGAGAUGACAGCAGCGUAGAAUGUUCAUUUGGAUUUAGAACAGAAAUGCUUAUUUUAUAUUUGGCUGCUCCCAAACUGUCCCCAGACUUCCUCUCCAGUGGUUACCCUCCACUGCCCUGGAUGUCCCACGUUUACACUCCACACUCACACCUCCACCUUAACAAAGUCCUCCACUGGGUCAAACCAUACAUCGCUUCGUCUCUGUAGUGAUGACUUCCUGUCCUCUGCUCUGUGGAUAAAGACCCCAGAUAAAGAUGCCUGUGUUGCUCAACUCUUGUAAAUACUCUUGAGACAUUUUGAAAGCAGAAGGAAAGGAGACAGACGGGGAAAAUAAAAGGGAUGGUCUGCUUGUGCGGAAACGUUUUGAGAAUGCCCUUCCCUAAGAGAGAACAGUAAAAGUGAGCAAUACUUCCUGAGCUGUGGGUUCAUAUGGCUGGACUGUGCUGUUUCUCACGGGAGAAGUUCUCGUCUCCCCUGCGUGUACAUCCCUGUUUGCCAGCCUGGCCUUCGGUGUGGUGAUAUCAUGGUGCACUCCCAGGAGGGAAGUGCUUGGUCAAGACUUCUGCUUGGGUUCGACUAUCAGUUCUGGUUUCCUUUAAGGCACAGGAUCUUCCCUUUAAGGCACAAACACCCCCUUGACACAAAGUAAGGGACAAGGGAACUUUAAACCAUUUGGAAACCCAAGCACAAUAGGCUGUAGGUUGUAAAAAGAAAUUACAAAGGUAAUUUUAUCCAGAAGAGGGAGCAGUUUAACUUCUGCAGGGUAAGAUUCAGAUUCACUUUUGUAACUGAACAGGGAAUUUUCUAAAUAUUUUGAAAAUGCCGAAACAUUUCCUGUUGGCAUUUCACAGAAACGUUCAAAGUUCCCUAAUGAUAGUUUCCGCUGUGCUCACUCCGGAGGCUGCUAAGCAACCUCAGUAAUUAGCUCGAUUGAGGAAACGAAACUGUGGGGGACUCAGUUUCCAUGAUAGGGAAACCAGGCAAGAAAUAUUGUCUCCUCAAGUUGCGACGAGACAGUAGUUCUUGCCUGGUUUCUCUAUCAUGGAGUCUUGGUUGGACUCUGCUAUGCGUCUCUUGAUGAAAUGUGAUACUAGCAAUUGAACAAUUAAGAAAAUGGAUGGCGGGGGGUGGAGCGGUUUGUCACUACUGGAGUUGCAGAGGCUCAGUGGGGGAACCUGAGAAACACUGCGUCCCCCAGGUCAUCACCGCGUCAGCACUGAUGAGUCAUGUUGAUGGCAUGGACCCUGAAUAUGACACAAUGAGAUGUCACUUUACCUCUGUGGCCUUUCCCAGAAAAAACCAUAACCCCAGUCUAACCAUGAGAAAAAUAUAAGACAAUGGUGCAGGCAGGGCAUUUCAGGAGAGGGUCAGGUAAAGGGGAGGGGGUCCCAGGAGAGGGUCAGGGGAGGGGACUUCAGGAGAGGGACAGGGAGAGGGGAGGGGGCUCCAGGAGAGGGUCAGGGAAAGGGGAGGGGGUCCCAGGAGAGGGUCAGGGAAAGGGGAGGGGGGUCCCAGGUGAGGGUCAGGGGAGGGGACUUCAGGAGAGGGACAGGGAGAGGGGAGGGGGCUCCAGGAGAGGGUCAGGGAAAGGGGAGGGGACUUCAGGUGAGGGUCAGGGAAAGGCGAGGGGGUCCCAGGACAGGGUCAGGGGAGGGGACUUCAGGAGAGGGACAGGGAGGGGGGAGGGGGGCUCCAGGAGAGGGUCAGGGAUAGGGGAGGGGGGUCCCAGGAGAGGAUCAGGGGAAGGGGUGGGGCUUCAGGAGAGGGUCUGAGAACACACAGGCAGGCAACACCUUAAAAUCCCAUCUCAGUCAGCAAUGACUCCUCAUAGGGCCACCACGAGCUUAAAUGUCACUUAAAUGUCCCUAUUUGCCAGCCUGGACUUCGGUGUGGUGAUAUCAUGGUGCAUUCCCAGGAGGGAAGUGCUUGGUCAAGACUUCUGCUUGGGUUCGACUGUCGGUUCUGGUUUCACAUGCACUGUGUGAACACGCUUCAUACAGAGGGUCAGCACCGCACUGUGUGAACAUGCUUCAUGCAGAGAGCCUGUACUGCACCAGGUGAACACACUUCAUACAGAGAGUCAGCACCGCACCGUGUGAACAUGCUUCAUACAGAGAGUCAGCACCGCACUGUGUGAACACGCUUCAUACAGAGAGUCAGCACCGCACCGUGUGAACACACUUCAUACAGAGAGUCAGUACUGCACCGUGUGAACAUGCUUCAUACAGAAGAUCAGCACCUCACUGUGUGAACACACUUCAUACAGAAGGUCAGCAAUGCACCGUGUGAACACACUUCAUACAGAGAGUCAGCACUGCACUGUGUGAACAUGCUUCAUACAGAAGAUCAGCACCUCACUGCGUGAACAUGUGUUAUACAGAGAGUCAGCACCGCACCGCGUGAACAUCCUUCAUACAGGUCAGCACUGCACCAUGUGAACACACUUCAAACAGAGAGUCAGUACUGCACCAUGUGAACAUGCUUCAUACAGAAGAUCAGCACCUCACUCUGUGAACAUGUGUCAUACAGAAGGUCAGCACUGCACUGUGUGAACACGCUUCAUACAGAAGGUCAGCACCGCAUUGUGUGAACAUGUGUCAUACAGAGAGUCAGCACCGCACCGUGUGAACACGCUUCAUACAGAGGGUCAGCACCGCAUUGUGUGAACAUGCUUCAUACAGAGGGUCAGCACCUCACUGUGUGAACAUGUGUCAUACAGAGAGUCAGCACUGCACCGUGUGAACAUGCUUCAUACAGAGGGUCGGGUCAGCACCGCACUGUGUGAACAUGCUUCAUGCAGAGAGUCUGUCCUGCACCAGGUGAACACGCUUCAUACAGAGAGUCAGCACCGCACCGUGUGAACACGCUUCAUACAGAGGGUCAGCACCGCACUGUGUGAACACACUUCACACAGAGGGUCUGUACCACAUUCCGUCAACAUGUGUCAGCACCAUACCAUGUGAACACGCUUGGUACAGUGAUAUACAUGCAUGUGGCAGAGCUGUGAAAUUAUGACCUGCUGCAGACAGACUUUGUACACUGUGCUAUCAGCCAACUGGGCAAAUGUGGACAAGAGUCCCUGCAUGUCUCUAUUCACCAGGUGUCUGUCAAAUGAAAUGGGCUGAACUGGAUAAUGGCAGGUCUGACCCAUGAUUACUGCCUGUAAGAGCUGAGUUAUCCCAGAGUGUAGGCGUGGGAUAUUAAAAUAUAUAUAUAUGCAAAUAUAUUUGGGCUGGGUUUGGUGGGUCAUGCCUGUAAUCCAGCACUUUGGGAGGCUCAGGCAGGCGGAUAACCUGAGGCCAGGAAUUCAAGACCAGCCUGGCCAACAUGGUGAAACCCCGUCUCUACAAAAAAAUACAAAAAAUUGGCCAGGCACGGUGGCUCACGCCUAUAAUCCCAACACUUUGGGAGGCCGAGGUGGGCAGAUCACCUGAGGUCAGGAGUUUGAGACCAGGCUGGCCAACAUAUAGUGAAACCCCAACUCUACUAAAAAAAUACAAAAAUUAACUGGGAGUGGUGGCAAACGUCUGUGGUCCCAGCUACUUGGGAAGCUGAGGCAGGAGAAUCGCUCAAACCCGGGAGGUGGAGGUUGCAGUGAGCCGAGAUACCGCCACUCCACUCCAGCCUGGGUGACAGAUCAAGACUCCAUCUCUCAAAAAAACAAGAACAAAAACAAAAAACAACAACUUAGCCGGACGUGGUGGUGGGUGCCUGUAAUCUCAGCUACUCAGGAGGCUGAGGCACAAGAAUCCCUUGAACCUGGGAGGUGGAGGUUGCAGUGAGCAGAGAUCUCACCAUUGCACUCCAGCCUGGGCAACAAGAGCGAAACUCCAUCUCAAAAAAUAAAUAAAUAAAUAAAUAAUAAAUAAAAAUAAAAAUAUAUUUGGUCUUAGUCCUUGGUUCCUGGCACAGAGCUUCAAAAAUUCCUGGAAUUUCCUGAGUGAUAAGGAUGUCUGUUUAUUUGUAAAGCGCUCCUUCUGACCAUGCCUGAGCUUAUGCCAGUGAGGUGCCUCAAAGUGGGCCUUUAGAGAGCUUCAAGAGAGGGGCUGGCCAUGCCAGAGAGAUCAAGUCCAUAUUUAAAGGGCUAGAACGUUCAGCCCCACCCGACCUCUGCAGAGGGGAGAGGGAUUGGGCACUGAGUUCAUUCCUGCUUACAUGGCUAACUUUUAUUUGUCCCUCUCUCUCUCUCUUUUAAAAUGAGUAUAGGGACCUGAAACAGUGGCUGACACAUGCCUGUAAUCCUAGUGCUUUGGAAGGCCGAAGUGGGAGGAUCACGUGAGCACAGGAAUUUGAGACCAGCUGGGGCAACAUAGCAAGACACUGUCUCUACAAAAAAAAAAAAAAAAAAAAAAAAUUAACCAGGCACAGUGGCAUGUACACCUGUAGUCUCAGCUACUCAGGAGGCUGAGGCAGAAGGAUCACUUGAGCCCAGGAGGUCCAGGCUAUAGUGAGCUAUGAUGGCACCACUGCAUUCCAGCCUGGGUGACAGAAAAAGACUCUGUCUCUAGAAAGAAAAAAAAAGAGGACUUAAAUUUUUACAUUUUAGCUAUAACUUACUGAAACUCUAAGUAGCCUUGAAAUUCAUAAUAUCAUAAACAGGCUGGGCGCGGUGGCUCAUACCUCUAAUCCCAGCACUUUGGGAGGCCGAGGUGGGUGGAUCAUCUGAGGUCCGGAGUUCGAGACCAGCCUGGGCAACAUGGCGAAACCCUGUCUCUACUAAAAAAUACAAAAAAUUAUCCCAGCUACUUGGGAGGCUGAGGCAGGAGAAUUGCUAGAACCUGGGAGACGGAGGUUGCAGUGAGCUGAGAUCACGCCACUGCAUUCCAGCCUGGGCAACAGAGCAAGACUUGGUCUCAAAAAAGUAAAAUAAAAAUUAAAAACUAUUAAAAAACAUAUACUGAGGAGAGAGUACUUAAGGAAAUGAAAUGAGUUACAUAUUCUGCUCUGCUUUUCCUGUAAAGGAAAUGUCAGAAGAGUCGGGGAAAGGGUCCCAAAGGCUGUCCCCUGGCAGAUCCCCAGGUCAACACUUGGGGUGGGAGCUGAGAACCCUGGUGUGGAGCUCAGGUCUGAGCCAUCCCCUACAAUGCAGCUGUUACACAGAGUCCUACAUCAAGGCUCCC
rnacentral:lncRNA from 1 species